rnacentral:lncRNA from 1 species
AAGAAACCCUGGCAGCCUCGGCAUCACCUCAUCAGCAGGUUUGCAACUUGCAACCACUUCCCAGCACUUCGCAAAAGAAGGCAAGAAAGCCACCCUGUUCUCCUGUGAUGUCUUUACUAAGUAACUGUGGAAGGACCAGUGCAUUUUCUACCUUCCAAGGCAGACACUCUGGCACCUGACAGUGAUGAUCUUGUGUAAAACAAUCAGGGUACUGGAUAAAUACAGCUCUGAUGCCUCUGGUAUGCCAGUGGCUUUAGUGUAUGGUAGAACCAAGGUAAUAAUAGUAUUCUGUGGAAUGUGUGACAUCUUCCUUAUCAACAGUAAGCCAAGAUUUUUUUUAGAGUCAAUGUCAACUACAAUCUUGCAGCGUCAUAACGUUUAAAUAAAUUACAACAGUUAGACCCCAAGAGGUUGGUUCUUGACUUUAAGCAGUCUUUCCUGCUUGCUUUAGAGAUUUAAAAUAAUUCAACUUCCUGGAAAAGAACUCUAAAAAUAAGCCACUAGAAUUAUAAAAACAAUGUAAAAGAUCGUCAUCAUUAC